CACGUAGGGCGCAAGCGUUGUCCGGAAUUAUUGGGCGUAAAGAGCUCGUAGGCGGUCUGUUGCGUCCGCUGUGAAAACCCGGGGCUUAACCCCUGGCUUGCAGUGGAUACGGACAGACUAGAGGUAGGUAGGGGAGAAUGGAAUUCCCGGUGUAGCGGUGAAAUGCGCAGAUAUCGGGAGGAACACCGGUGGCGAAGGCGGUUCUCUGGGCCUUACCUGACGCUGAGGAGCGAAAGCGGUGGGGAGCGAACAGG
rnacentral:rRNA from 1 species